AUUAGUGGCGAACGGGUGAGUAACACGUGGGCAAUCUGCCCUUCACUCUGGGACAAGCCCUGGAAACGGGGUCUAAUACCGGAUAACACUCCUGCCUGCAUGGGUGGGGGUUAAAAGCUCCGGCGGUGAAGGAUGAGCCCGCGGCCUAUCAGCUAGUUGGUGGGGUAAUGGCCUACCAAGGCGACGACGGGUAGCCGGCCUGAGAGGGCGACCGGCCACACUGGGACUGAGACACGGCCCAGACUCCUACGGGAGGCAGCAGUGGGGAAUAUUGCACAAUGGGCGAAAGCCUGAUGCAGCGACGCCGCGUGAGGGAUGACGGCCUUCGGGUUGUAAACCUCUUUCAGCAGGGAAGAAGCGCAAGUGACGGUACCUGCAGAAGAAGCACCGGCUAACUACGUGCCAGCAGCCGCGGUAAUACGUAGGGUGCGAGCGUUGUCCGGAAUUAUUGGGCGUAAAGAGCUCGUAGGCGGCUUGUCACGUCGGAUGUGAAAGCCCGGGGCUUAACCCCGGGUCUGCAUUCGAUACGGGCAGGCUAGAGUGUGGUAGGGGAGAUCGGAAUUCCUGGUGUAGCGGUGAAAUGCGCAGAUAUCAGGAGGAACACCGGUGGCGAAGGCGGAUCUCUGGGCCAUUACUGACGCUGAGGAGCGAAAGCGUGGGGAGCGAACAGGAUUAGAUACCCUGGUAGUCCACGCCGUAAACGUUGGGAACUAGGUGUUGGCGACAUUCCACGUCGUCGGUGCCGCAGCUA
rnacentral:rRNA from 1 species